rnacentral:rRNA from 1 species
GAGUUUGAUCCUGGCUCAGGAUGAACGCUGGCGGCGUGCCUAAUACAUGCAAGUCGAGCGAACAGAUAAGGAGCUUGCUCCUUUGACGUUAGCGGCGGACGGGUGAGUAACACGUGGGUAACCUACCUAUAAGACUGGAAUAACUCCGGGAAACCGGGGCUAAUGCCGGAUAAUAUUUAGAACCGCAUGGUUCUAAAGUGAAAGAUGGUUUUACUAUCACUUAUAGAUGGACCCGCGCCGUAUUAGCUAGUUGGUGGGGUAAUGGCUUACCAAGGCAACGAUACGUAGCCGACCUGAGAGGGUGAUCGGCCACACUGGAACUGAGGCACGGUCCAGACUCCUACGGGAGGCAGCAGUAGGGAAUCUUCCGCAAUGGGCGAAAGCCUGACGGAGCAACGCCGCGUGAGUGAUGAAGGUCUUCGGAUCGUAAAACUCUGUUAUUAGGGAAGAACAAAUGUGUAAGUAACUGUGCACGUCUUGACGGUACCUAAUCAGAAAGCCACGGCUAACUACGUGCCAGCAGCCGCG